AUGGAAGGAACGACCGCCCAGCUUGUGUCCAUCGUCGGGCAGCUGGUGGGUAAGGAGUACCGGCAGCUCCGCGGCGUGAGUGCCCAGGUGGCUGAGCUCAGCGACGAGCUGGAAACCAUGAAAGCCAUCCUCCGCAUGCUCUCCGAAGCAGAAGAGGGCGCCGUGGACCACUUCAUCCGGGUGUGGAUGAAGCAGGUGCGCGAGCUCGCCUAUGACGCCGAGGACUGCGUGCACCUCUACAUCUUCCGCAUCCGGUGCCGGUCCAGAGACCGCUUCCUCGUAUGGUCGAAACACAUGCUGGUCGGCAUCACAGAGAAGUCUACCAGACUGGCCGCCAAGGUGAAGGCGGUGACUGACAAUGACAUGACGCUCAAGGUUUUCUCCGUCGUGGGAUUCGGCGGGCUCGGGAAGACUACGCUGGCGAUGGAGGUGUGCCGGCAGUUGGAGGCCGACUUCCAAGGCCAAGCUCAAGUGUCUGUGUCCCAGGCGUUCCGCGACACGAAAGAUUUGGAGGGAUUACUGAAGCGCAUACUUCUUCAAAUCGAAGCCACGAAAGAUAGGCAUCGACGACGACGACGAUGA
rnacentral:rRNA from 1 species